CUCUGGAGAGAACGAGAGAGAAGAACGCCAAGAAAGACAGCAGGAGAAACCAGAAACUUCGAGAAGUCUGAUAAAGAAGAGAAUCUGAGCUGAGACUAGGCCAAAGAAAAGGACUCACUGUGCAUGAAGAUUUUUUUCUGUUGGACCAAACAGCACUUCGAACAGGUUUCAAAGAUGUCCCAUAAAAGACCUUUGCCAGGACAAAAGCAAAACCUUUUAUUUUAUUUAAAGAACCAGCCAAGUGAGAAAAG